GUUGAAACACUGGUUCUUGUAUGAUAACCAAAGUUAAGCAACAUUGAGCCUGGUCAGUACCUAAAUGGGUUACCACUUGGGAAUUCUAGGUGCUGCAAG